GGGCUGUUAGCGUGCAGGGGUUCUAGCUCUCAGGUAAAUACAGUGUUCGAUACACAGGUGGGUAUUCACAGGGCUGGGCUGUUAGCGUGCAGGGGUUCUAGCUCUCAGGUAAGUACAGUGUUCGAUACACAGGUAAGUAUUCACAGGGCUGAGCUGUUAGCGUGCAGGGGUUCUAGCUCUCAAUGUAAGUACAGUGUUCCAUACACAGGUAAGUAUUCACAGGGCUGAGCUGUUAGCGUGCAGGGGUUCUAGCUCUCAAUGUAAGUACAGUGUUCCAUACACAGGUGGGUAUUCACAGGGCUGAGCUGUUAGCGUGCAGGGGUUCUAGCUCUCAAGUAAGUACAGUGUUCAAUACACAGGUGAGUA